rnacentral:rRNA from 1 species
UCGGGAAUUUUGCGCAAUGGACGAAAGUCUGACGCAGCAACGCCGCGUGAGGGAUGAAGGCCUUCGGGUUGUAAACCUCUUUUAUCAGGGAAGAUAAUGACGGUACCUGAUGAAUAAGUCACGGCUAACUACGUGCCAGCAGCCGCGGUAAUACGUAGGUGACAAGCGUUGUCCGGAUUUACUGGGCGUAAAGAGCGCGCAGGCGGUCGUUCAAGUCGAGUGUGAAAGCCCCCGGCUCAACUGGGGAGGGUCAUUCGAUACUGAUCGACUCGAAGGCAUGAGAGGGUAGUGGAAUUCCCGGUGUAGUGGUGAAAUGCGUAGAUAUCGGGAGGAACACCAGUGGCGAAGGAGACUACCUGGCCUGUUCUUGACGCUGAGGCGCGAAAGCUAGGGGAGCAACCGGG